AGAUGGAAAAUGGCCGCUCCAGGGGGUCUGGCUUCAUGCACUCCUCAUCUUCCCAGAAAGCAAUGAAGGACAAGAAUGAAAUGAACGGCAGGAUUUGGAGCAGGAAGCCAGUGUGUGUUGGUGUGGCUCAGUGUAAAGAGGAACUCCCGGCUUGUCUUGCCCAUCAGAACAUGCAAAGGACGGCGAGCAUGCAGAGUCAGAACCUGAAUCUGCAAUGGACUGUGCAGACCAUCCAGCCACAAUAUAUCCAGAAUAUGCCCGAUGUGGUUGAACCUGCACCGGUGCAUCAGCAGCCCACUGGCACCAUCACACCAUCAAGCAGUCAGGUGACAUGUGUGAUGGUAGAGUGUACAAAUAUAACUACACCAACAUCUGUGGAUGUUCUAGUGGCAAACUCGGUGUCUGCUGUAGAAAAGUAUCUAGUUGUAGACAGUGUCCCAGCUGAGCACCUAGUUCCAUCAGUAGAAAGCAUCCCAGUUCUAUUUCCAGCUGCAGAUGGGGCUUCCAGCUCCAACUCAAGCUCUAGAUUCAGAUGUUACAUGUCUGCCUUCUACUUCUAUGGUGUAUGAAAAUGACGUGCAGCAGGACAAGGACACAACAGAUAUACCCAUGUGUCCACCAGCUAAAAAGUGCCUAACCAUCUACAUGUUGGAGUCCGUGCCGGUAGAUGACCAGAUCCAGAUGGUGCAUGAUUAUAUGUUGCCACUGGUCGAGAAAAUCCACCCAACUCAUAAGAUCUAAUAAGAUCACCUGGGUGCUUUUGGAGGGUGAGAACAAUUUCAAGAUCAUGGACAUGAUCAGAUAUUCCGAGCUCCUGCAUGCCAGGUGAAAUGAUGAAUUAGCUUGGCCAUGUGGAAGCAGAACCGGACACACCAAUCCCUCAUCCCUCACGUGUUUGUGUUUGUGCUUGAAACCCUAAAGAUGCUUUAUAACAACAAUGACAAUAGUAAGAGGAAGAAGAAGAGAAAGAACAAUAAAUAAACAUUGUACCCAGCAUUACAAAUAUUAUAAAGUGGCCUGGGUCUUGAUUAUUGUAAUUUAAAUUAGAAUUUAAAGAGAAACUUUGUUUAAAAUUGAAAUAGAAAUAGUAAAUUUAUUAACUCUAGAUUAUUAAAAUCUUAAGUAUAACUGAGAAGAAUAAUAAUAAUUGAUUGUGGUUUAUAUGCAUUUAAAUUUCUCAAUGUCCAUGAGGAAUAUUUUCCUGAAGACAACAUAUUAAAGCCACAUGCUGAACCAAAACUUGGCCCAGUAACUCACCAGAUAACCCUCCAACCCCUGCCCCAGGAGAAACAUAAGUGAUACAGUAUUUAUAGUGCUGUAAAUGUUACAGGGGCACACACAACACUCCUGAUGAAUGAGAACAUCAGGAAUUCUAUUCUCCGACCUGUCUAUAAUCGUUCAGGGUAAACAUAUGCCAGGUGGGCCAGGUUUGAGAGAAGGUGACUGUUUACUGCUCUAUAGCAAGCUCUCAGUUCCAAGCACUGUCUCCCCUUCAAAACUGCACCCCUAGAUGCACAAGCCAAACAGACAGAGGGAGAAACCCCCUGGAACCUAUGUCCUGCCCACCCAUAAUCCCAUUAACAGUACAGAGGACUUUGCCCAGUAGAGCCAUGUAUCAGUGGUUUUUGUGAAGUCCUUCAGCCGUGCAUCAGUGGCCUUUGUGAAGACCAUAACCUUGACCCUGAACUGCUGGACAUGUCCAGGUGUUGCUUCAAAAAUAAUGUGGGCUUUAUAGAGUAGUUUUGAGGGCAAGGCUGGCCAUGUUAGGGUGGAACGGUAUCCAUCCCAUUCUGGAAGGUGCUGCUCUCAUUUCUUUCAGCAUAGCACAUAGUUUCAGAAAAGGCCUAUUUAUUAAGUGACAAUCCAGAGACAAGGCGAUGGAGCAGACAAGCAGGCUAAACCGACUAACUGCUAGCUGCAAUAUCGAGACUCUGUCUGUUCCCCAAUCUAAAAAAAAACAAACAUAGAAAUACUCAAAGUUUGUUUUAGUAACGUAAUUAACAUCAAAUUAAAUCAUACUGAAUGCACAGCCAGCACAUUUGAUCUGAAGCUAGGACUGUUAAAUAUUACGUCUCUUGCGUCUAAAGUGCUUAUUGUUUAUGAAACGAUUACUAAUCAGGAGUGUAAUGUACUGUGUUUGACAGAAAUGUGCAUUAAACCAAAUGAGUAUGUAGCAUUAAAUGAAACUAGUCCUCCUGGAUAGAGUUAUAUACAUCAGCCCCGUCCUAACUAGCAAAGGAAGAGGUGUUGCAGUUAUUUAUAAUGAUAAUCUAGGCGUUACACAAAAACCUAGUCAUAAAUUCAGUGCAUUUGAAGUUCUUUAUACUAACAUAUCUAGCCAUAAAAAAAUAAGUCCACUCAUGUAGUAGAAUGUAAUAGGAUCCACUCAUAAUGGUGGUCACACUCUUGACCUAAUACUAACAUUCGGACUAAAUAUAGAAAAUAUAGUCAAAUUUCUCAGAUCAUUAUCUCAUCUCACUUAUAAUGUGUCUUAAUCAUAAUAUACAGUCAUGUGAGAAAAUAAGUGCACCCCAUGAAAAUUGUUGGCUUUUUUGACAUAUUUGGAUAAGCAAACAUUUGAUCAUCUCUGAAACAGUGCCUAUUAAUAAAGUUCAUAUACUUGAACAAAACCACAAGGAAAAUUUGCUUUUUCAAUCAUUUAUUCAACAGAAAUAGUACACCCUUGGCCUCAGAAGCUAGUAUAGCUUCCUUUAGUAGAAAUAACUUCUUGUAGGCGUUUUGCAUUGUCCACCAGUCUCUGACAUCGGCUUGUUGGAAUUUCUGUCCACUCUUCCACGCAAUAUUUUUUCAGUUGCAAGAUAUUUGAGGGUUAAAAUCCCCCCACAAUAAUUCAAUAGGAUUCAAAUCCAGGCCUUGAGUAGGCUAUUCCAUAACCCUCAAUUUCAUCUUUUUGAGCCAUUCCUUGGUGGAUUUGCUAGUGUGCUUAGGAUUAUUAUCCUGUUGAAAAGUCCACUUUCAGUUCACUUUUCAGAGGCCAACUUUUGGACAGAUGGCCUCACAUUACCUUCAAGCACUCUAAUAUGAUUCAGAAUUCCUAGUUGGAUCAAUGAAUGCAAGCUGUCUAGUCCCAGAGGCAGCAAAGCAACCCCAAACCAUAACAUUUCUACCACCAUUCUUCACAGUUGGUAGGAGGUGCUUCUCCUGAAAAGCUGUCUUUGGUCAGGUCCAAACAUGUCUGCUGUUACUGUCGCCAAACAAAACAAAUCUUUGAUUAGUCUGUCCAGAGCACAUUAUUCCAAAAGACCUGGUCUUUGCCUAUAUUGCCUAUAAUUCACACAUUUAAAAUCUGUAUCCUGUGUUCACAUGUUGCUGUAAAGCUGCUUUGAGACAUUUUCCACUGUUAAAAGCACUAUACAAAUAAAAUUGAAUUGAAUACAUGCUCAUUGGCAAACUGUAGCCUUCUCUAAUGUUCUUUUUAGAUAUCAAAGGCUUUUUCCUGGACAUGCAGGUUAAAUUUGUGCAAUCUCUUUCUGAUUGUAGAAGCAUGCACUUUGACAUCAACAGUUGCA